AGGUUGUCAGCAGUCCUCUUGGGGAGAUGGAAGUGGCCAAAAUUUUUUUUUUGCAUGCAGAAACAAUUAUUUUUUUAAUACAUUUAAUUCCUUUGUCAUUAUUGCUGGGUUUCCAACUCCUUGGAGCUGAAGUGCACCUUUACUUCGGUAGGACUGAGGUGUCUUCAGGGAAUAAAGGAAUAAGAUGAAGUUGGCAAGGAACGUUGCUGUUCCCAAGUCAAAAAGCAGCCAGAGGACAAUGACAGGGUCUCAAGGAGCAGGAGUUGGAAAACUUGUGCACCUGAGCCGGGAGCAGUGGGGAGCUCCAGCCUCGUUCAAGGGAAGGAAAAAUCCACCUGCAGCAAAAUCUCCUGGCUUGUGGGAAUGAGGAGCUCCAGCUCAGCACCAUCCCAGCCCCAUCAAU